rnacentral:rRNA from 1 species
UACGGGGGGGGCAAGCGUUGUUCGGAAUUACUGGGCGUAAAGGGCUCGUAGGCGGCCAACUAAGUCGGAUGUGAAAUCCCCAGGCUCAACCUGGGAACUGCAUCCGAUACUGGAUGGCUUGAAUUCGGGAGAGGGAUGCAGAAUUCCAGGUGUAGACGGUGAAAUGCGUAGAUAUCUGGAGGAAUACCGGUGGCGAAGGCGGCAUCCUGGACCGACAUUGACGCUGAGGAGCGAAAGCCAGGGGAGCAAACGGG